rnacentral:rRNA from 1 species
AGAACGCCCGGGCUUCGGCCUGGUUAUUCAUAACCCUUUGUUGUCCGACUCUGUUGCCUCCGGGGCGACCCUGCCUUCGGGCGGGGGCUCCGGGUGGACACUUCAAACUCUUGCGUAACUUUGCAGUCUGAGUAAACUUAAUUAAUAAAUUAAAACUUUUAACAACGGAUCUCUUGGUUCUGGCAUCGAUGAAGAACGCAGCGAAAUGCGAUAAGUAAUGUGAAUUGCAGAAUUCAGUGAAUCAUCGAAUCUUUGAACGCACAUUGCGCCCCCUGGUAUUCCGGGGGGCAUGCCUGUUCGAGCGUCAUUUCACCACUCAAGCCUCGCUUGGUAUUGGGCAACGCGGUCCGCCGCGUGCCUCAAAUCGUCCGGCUGGGUCUUCUGUCCCCUAAGCGUUGUGGAAACUAUUCGCUAAAGGGUGUUCGGGAGGCUACGCCGUAAAACAACCCCAUUUCUAAGGUUGACCUCGGAUCAGGUAGGGAUACCCGCUGAACUUAAGCAUAUCAAUAAGCGGAG